rnacentral:lncRNA from 1 species
GGUCGUGAGGAAUUAGCAAAAAUGAUUGCUUUGGGUUGUCUACCUUUUUCUUUUGCUUCUUAAUCGUAUCUUAUUAUGUAUAUUCAAAGGAUUUACAAUCCUUUAUUUGAAGGUAUCCGUAAAAGUACUUGUAGAGCAGAUAUCUUUAGACUUCAUGGACAAUAUCAAACAUACAUACAUUAUUUGUUUAGCCACCUUCCUUCUAGAGUAUGUCUAACUNNN